AUUGACAUUUUAUUACUGUUUGAUGUGUCUCUCAGAGGUGAUCCGAAGUGUGAAAUUGGAAGCCUGGAGCUUGCUUUUUGCACUUCCACGCUAGAGAAAGGCACAGUGAAGACAUUUGAGAGGCGUGGUGUUUUUCUCCCUCCGCCAAAAACAAGGAGAUUUUGCAAGGAAAGCUUUGACCCCUCUGGCAUCUGCCUCCUUGCAGGACAUGCCAGCUUAAUGUGUCCUUGGCUCUAGCUCCUGUUACAAGCUGAAGGGCCUUUCCUGAGAAGUCAGAGACCACUGCUGGAGACAGAGUGGGUUUGAUUCUGAAUCUGGGGACGAUGCAAGGACGGCAGGACCAAACCCAGAGAGAUCAUGGUAGCCGGCCCUUCGAUCGCCUGAAUCCGCAGAUGGAAUGAAUAGUGACCUCGUCUCUUAUUCCUGGGAGAAGGAUGGUGAGGACACAAUGGUCUGAGCUGAAGUUAGAGAAGUGGAAUUUCAUAUUCUUUCUCCCAACCUUUCAUGGUCUUGCCAGAUAAUUUUUUUUUUACUUCAUCCAUUGAGUCACAACAUAUCCAGAGUUAAACUGGGGGCUUCUCAUUUCCUGCGUGUCUUUGUCUCUCACGAUGUCCUCCCAUUUUGCAACUAUAUUUGUGGCAGAGAGAUAAAUAACU